UACGUAGGGUGCGAGCGUUAAUCGGAAUUACUGGGCGUAAAGCGUGCGUAGGCGGUUCGUUAUGUCUGCUGUGAAAGCCCCGGGCUUAACCUGGGAAUGGCAGUGGAAACUGGCGGGCUUGAGUGUGGCAGAGGGGGGUGGAAUUCCGCGUGUAGCAGUGAAAUGCGUAGAGAUGCGGAGGAACACCGAUGGCGAAGGCAGCCCCCUGGGCCGACGGCUGACGCUCAGGCGCGAAAGCGUGGGGAGCAAACAGG
rnacentral:rRNA from 1 species